UACAGAGGUCUCAAGCGUUUGUUCGGAUUCAUUGGGCGUAAAGGGUGCGUAGGUGGCGCGGUAAGUCGGGUGUGAAAUCUUGGAGCUUAACUCCGAAACUGCAUUCGAUACUGCCGUGCUUUGAGGACUGGAGAGGAGACUGGAAUUUACGGUGUAGCGGUGAAAUGCGUAGAUAUCGUAAGGAAGACCAGUGGCGAAGGCGGGUCUCUGGACAGUUCCUGACGCUGAGGCACGAAGGCCCAGGGGGAGCAAACGGGG
rnacentral:rRNA from 1 species